UUUUAUGGUCAAGCUACUAAGGGCGUACGGUGGAUGCCUUGGCAUCGGGAGGCGAUGAAGGACGCGGUAAGCUGCGAAAAGCCUCGGGGAGCCGCUAAACAGGCUUUGAUCCGGGGGUGUCCGAAUGGGGAAACCCGGCAGGGAUUAUACCCUGUCAUCAUGCACUGAAUCCAUAGGUGUAUGAGGCGAACGAGGGGAACUGAAACAUCUAAGUACCCUCAGGAGAAGAAAUCAAUUGAGAUUCCGUCAGUAGCGGCGAGCGAACGCGGAAGAGCCCAAACCGAAACUACUACGGUGGUUUCGGGGUUGUGGGGCCCCAACGUGGGAUUGACAAUGGGUAGCAGAAGGCUCUGGAAAGUGCCGCCAUAGUGGGUGAAAGCCCCGUAUGCGAAACCUUGCGUCACCCUAGGGUGUCCCCGAGUACCACGGAACACGAGAAAUUCCGUGGGAAGCUGGGAGGACCAUCUUCCAAGGCUAAAUACUCCCCGAUGACCGAUAGCGCAUAGUACCGUGAGGGAAAGGUGAAAAGAACUGCGAUAAGCAGAGUGAAAUAGAACCUGAAACCGUAUGCCUACAAGCAGUGGAAGCCCUAUGAUCUUCGGAUCAGGGUGACCGCGUGCCUUUUGCAUAAUGAGUCAGCGAGUUAUUCUCAGCAGCGAGGUUAAGCCGAUCGAGGUGGAGCCGUAGCGAAAGCGAGUCUGAACAGGGCGAAUGAGUUGCUGGGAGUAGACCCGAAACCGAGUGAUCUAUCCAUGGGCAGGGUGAAGCGUAGGUAACACUUCGUGGAGGCCCGAACCCACUUAGGUUGAAAACUGAGGGGAUGACCUGUGGAUAGGAGUGAAAGGCUAAUCAAACUCGGAGAUAGCUGGUUCUCCCCGAAAUAUAUUUAGGUAUAGCCUCGUAUGAAUCGUUCCGGAGGUAGAGCACUGAAUGGGCUAGGGGUCCUACCAGAUUACCAAACCUAAUCAAACUCCGAAUGCCGGAAAUGAAUGUACGGGAGUCAGACAGCGGGUGAUAACAUCCGUUGUCAAGAGGGAAACAACCCAGACCGCCAGCUAAGGUCCCUAAGUCUGUGCUAAGUGGUAAAGGAUGUGGAAUUGCCCAGACAACCAGGAGGUUGGCUUAGAAGCAGCCAUCCUUUAAAGAAAGCGUAAUAGCUCACUGGUCGAGUGGGUCUGCGCCGAAAAUGUAACGGGGCUCAAGCACAGCACCGAAGCUGCGGAUUCGUGCCUUAAGGCAUGAGUGGUAGGGGAGCAUUGUGGCAACCGCAGAAGGUCGACCGCGAGGACGGCUGGAGGAACCACAAGAGAUUAUGCUGACAUGAGUAGCGAAAAUGCGGGUGAGAAACCCGCACGCCGUAAGCCCAAGGUUUCCUCAGUAAAGGUAAUCUGCUGAGGGUUAGUCGGUCCCUAAGGCGAGGCCGAAAGGCGUAGUUGAUGGGAAACAGGUUAAUAUUCCUGUACCUGUAGUGACUGCGAUGGGGGGACGGAGAAGGGUAGGCCAGCCGGGUGUUGGACGUCCCGGUUCAAGCGUGUAGGCGGGAGGAGCAGGCAAAUCCGCUCCUCUAUUUAAAACGUCAAGGCGUGAUGACGAGGGCUUUAAGCCCACAAAGUGGUUGAUCCCACGCUUCCAAGAAAAGCCUCUAAGCUUCAGGUCACAACAGACCGUACCGAAAACCGACUCAGGUGGGCGGGCAGAAAAUGCCAAGGCGCUUGAGAGAACUCUGGUUAAGGAACUCGGCAAAAUGACACCGUAACUUCGGGAGAAGGUGUGCCCCCAUUAGGUGUAGCGAUUCGCACGCGAAGCCGAAGGGGGUCGCAGAGAAAUGGCGGUAGCGACUGUUUACUAAAAACACAGCACUCUGCAAACUCGUAAGAGGAAGUAUAGGGUGUGACGCCUGCCCGGUGCCGGAAGGUUAAGGGGAUGUGUUAGGGGUAACCCGAAGCAUUGAACCGAAGCCCCGGUAAACGGCGGCCGUAACUAUAACGGUCCUAAGGUAGCGAAAUUCCUUGUCGGGUAAGUUCCGACCUGCACGAAUGGCGUAACGACUUCCGCACUGUCUCAACCAGGGACUCAGCGAAAUUGAAUUGGCGGUGAAGAUGCCGUCUACCCGCGGCAAGACGGAAAGACCCCGUGAACCUUUACUACAGCUUGGCAGUGACAUUCGGGACAGCAUGUGUAGGAUAGGUGGGAGACUAUGAAGCUGGCACGCCAGUGUCGGUGGAGUCGUCCUUGAAAUACCACCCUUGUUGUUCUGGGUGUCUAACCUGGGCCCGUGAUCCGGGUCGGGGACACUGCCUGGUGGGUAGUUUGACUGGGGCGGUCGCCUCCUAAAGAGUAACGGAGGCGCGCGAAGGUUCCCUCAGGCUGAUUGGAAACCAGCCGAAGAGUGUAAAGGCAUAAGGGAGCUUGACUGCGAGACAGACACGUCGAGCAGGUGCGAAAGCAGGUCUUAGUGAUCCGGCGGUUCUGUAUGGAAGGGCCGUCGCUCAACGGAUAAAAGGUACUCCGGGGAUAACAGGCUUAUCUCCCCCAAGAGUUCACAUCGACGGGGAGGUUUGGCACCUCGAUGUCGGCUCAUCGCAUCCUGGGGCUGUAGUCGGUCCCAAGGGUUUGGCUGUUCGCCAAUUAAAGCGGUACGCGAGCUGGGUUUAAAACGUCGUGAGACAGUUUGGUCCCUAUCUGCCGUGGGCGCAGGAGAUUUGAGAGGAUCUGUCCUUAGUACGAGAGGACCGGGAUGGACGAACCACUGGUGUUCCUGUUGUCUCGCCAGAGGCAAUGGCAGGGUAGCUAUGUUCGGAAAGGAUAACCGCUGAAAGCAUCUAAGCGGGAAGCCCCCCUCAAGACGAGAUCUCCCCGGGAGCAAUCCCCUGAAGGUCCGUCGGAGACGACGACGUUGAUAGGCCGGGUGUGCAAGGGCAGCAAUGUCCUGAGCUAACCGGUACUAAUCGACCGUGAGGCUUGACCAUAAAA
rnacentral:rRNA from 1 species